rnacentral:rRNA from 1 species
UACGUAGGGUGCAAGCGUUGUCCGGAAUUAUUGGGCGUAAAGAGCUCGUAGGCGGUCUGUCGCGUCGGAAGUGAAAACCCGGGGCUCAAACCCCGGGGCCUGCUUUCGAUACGGGCAGACUAGAGUUCGGCAGGGGAGACGUGGAAUUCCUGGUGUAGCGGUGAAAUGACGCAGAUAUCAGGAGGAACACCGGUGGCGAAGGCGGGUCUCUGGGCCGAUACUGACGCUGAGGAGCGAAAGCGUGGGGAGCGAACAGG